rnacentral:rRNA from 1 species
GACGAACGCUGGCGGCGUGCUUAACACAUGCAAGUCGAACGGAAAGGCCCUGGCUUUGUGCGGUGCUCGAGUUGCGAACGGGUGAGUAACACGUGGGUAACCUGCCCUGGACUUGGGGAUAACUUCAGGAAACUGGGGCUAAUACCGGAUAGGAGCACCUGCUGCAUGGCGGUGGCUUGAAAGUUUCGGUGGCUGGGGAUGGACUUGGGGCUUAUCAGCUUUUUGGUGAGGUAGUGGCUAACCAAGGCUAGGACGGGUAGCCGGCCUGAGAGGGUGACAGGCCACAUUGGCACUGGGAUACGGCCCGUAGGCAUACGGGAGCCAGCGGCGGGAGACUGAGCGCGAUGGGCGGAGGCCGGAUGGAGCAACGUCGCGUCGUAGAGGACGGCCGUCGGGUUGUAAAGCGCUUUCGCCUGUAAAGAAGCGUGAGUGACGGUAAUGGAUAAAGAAGCACCGGCUAACUACGUG